UCAGAUGCUUUAGUUUGCAAGAAUGAGUUCAAAGGAAACCAACUUGUGCUUAAACAACAGAACGGUUUAGGGAGAUGGAUUCCCAAGGAAAGCCAUUCUCCUUUCUCUAUUAAUGCUUAAACCUGUGUCCCUAGAGCUAUGAGGUGGUGGGAGAAAACAAGCAAGCCAAACAUGACAGAGAUCAAAUCUACACAACAUCUUGUUGAUUCAUUGUUAGAUGCUGGAGAUAAUCUUGUUAUAGUUGAUUUUUACUCCCCUGGAUGUGGAGGUUGUAAAGCUUUGCAUCCAAAGAUUCUAUGGAGGGGCUCGAAGCCGUGUCUCAAGCUUCAGUUGUACUAAUGCAACGAUAAAGAAAUUUAAGGAUGCUCUAGGUAAGCAUGGAGCAGAGGGAUGCAGUCUUGGACCAGCAAAAGGAUUUGAAGAAUCAGAAUUGUUGAGUUUAGCUUCAAACAAAGGAAGCAAUUUCAGUUACCCAUUGAGAUCUUUGCUGCCUGGAGAUUUUAGCUUUUAUUCAGAUUUUGAGGGAAGAACUGAUAUGGCGAUGGCAAGCCUGCAUUGAUCUAUCAGUUUCUUGUUAGGAGUGUACAUAAUUCUAUAUUUGAGGCUUUGUGUUUUUCUGUGAGAGCCCCAGUUUCAAUAAAUUGUGUUCAGGUUGUGUUGAUUAAAUGAAAGAGA